rnacentral:rRNA from 1 species
UACGUAGGGUGCGAGCGUUAAUCGGAAUUACUGGGCGUAAAGCGUGCGCAGGCGGCGCCGCAAGUCAGGCGUGAAAUCCCCGAGCUUAACUUGGGAAUGGCGCUUGAAACUACGGUGCUGGAGUGUGGCAGAGGGAGGUGGAACUCCACGUGUAGCGGUGAAAUACGUAGAGAUGUGGAGGAACACCGAUGGCGAAGGCAGCCUCCUGGGCCAACACUGACGCUCAUGCACGAAAGCGUGGGGAGCAAACAGG